CUUAUUUUUAGAAGUUAAAAGAAAAUACAGAGACAGAUUGGGAAAGAAGCAGCAGUUAAUCUCUGGAUUAUUUUGUUAUGGAGAGGUUCUACUGAUGCAGCGUCAGAAGCGAUUUUGAGGGCGGAUUGCUACCACGACAGAAGUCACGGCACCGAUUGCAAAUAUGCUGCUACAAGUUCAUGAUGAUUUCGGAUUAAGUCAGAUCGUAGUUUCUUAAUAUCGUUCUGCUACGCUUCCAUCCGAUUUGAACUCAGAUUCGCCGCCAUCAUAGGUACCUUCCUUCAUUUGAGUUCGCUAGGUUUAAAAUAAGAUUCUCUCAUCUAUCCCUACCAUCUUCUUCUUCUUCUCUAUUGCAAAACUAAGUCAAUAAAUUCCAUUGUUUUGUUUCCCGUAUCUUUAUGUGCAUUUCGGAUGUUGAUUGUCUGGUGUUCAGCCAUUGAUUGCGUGGAUUAGUUGCAGAAUUCUUUCUCUUUUUUGUUGGAGCAAAUGAUUUGAAGUACUUUAAGCGUAGAAAAUUGAUAGAUUAGUUAUUCUAAUAGAAGUAAUUUUAUGUUAGAUGAUAACUUCAUAAAAAUGUUGGGCCUUACGGGUUAUGUUGAUGGUGGUUGUUCACUAUGUUUGAGAUUCGUGCCUCUUGCACCACCAUCAUUAUCAUGGCCAGAUUAAGCACUGUUGCCUAAACCACAUCAGCGCCGGGUUGAUAGUGCAGAGACGAGUAUGAAAAAAUAGCGCCAUUAGGACAUCAAUGAUCAUGAUUUUAUGCUUUUUUUUUUGUUUUUUAUAUAGAUAUUGAGAUGUUUUAGAAAAUGAUAGAUUUUUUCCAUUGAUUCUUGUUAGAGUUGAAGUGUGUUUAUCUCUUUGCAUUGUUGAUUAUUUUCGACUAAUUCAAGAUUUUAUCCAAUUACAGCCGAUGUUGUUAUCACAUUUUAAAAACUAUCUAGGGUCAACGUUAAUUUGAUUUUUGACAAUAAAUGGACAGAGGGAGGUCAA